rnacentral:tRNA from 1 species
AAGGCCCUUUUAUCAACUGCAGCUUCUAACUGUUAUUGAGCAAAUAGUUUUGCUGGGGUUUU